AACUACUGUGCUUUUAUUCUGGAAAUCUGAGAGGAAGUUUUUUUCUUGAUACGGUUGAUGGUGGAUGGGGUAGCAGACAUGUUGCUAUCGUCAAAAAGUGCCUCCUGAGUCAUAACACCAUGUGAACCCUAGUUACGCAAGGAGCAGACGGCCGAGUUUAUUAAACUCCACCGAGACAGCGGUGACGUUAAUCAGAAGGCUGGACCGUCCAAUUUCACUGCCGUUUACUUCCGGCCUACCCGACCGUCUGAGGACCCGGCCCACUUAGAUUGCGAAGGCCCGGUCCUCAGGAGGAUGCAGCCCAUGAAUUUGGACACGACCAGUGACAGUACAGACAAGCGGAUGCGAUAGUGAACUUUUAUCGAACUGAAGUUCUCACUGGUCAAGAAGGAAAACACUUUACAAAGAGCGACUUGACUCCUCAUCCGAAG